rnacentral:rRNA from 1 species
UACAGAGGGGGCGAGCGUUGUUCGGAAUUACUGGGCGUAAAGGGCGCGUAGGCGGCCCACUAAGUCAGACGUGAAAUCCCUCGGCUCAACCGGGGAACUGCGUCUGAUACUGGAUGGCUUGAAUUCGGGAGAGGGAUGCGGAAUUCCAGGUGUAGCGGUGAAAUGCGUAGAUAUCUGGAGGAACACCGGUGGCGAAGGCGGCUAUCUGGACCGACAUUGACGCUGAGGCGCGAAAGCGUGGGGAGCAAACAGG